rnacentral:rRNA from 1 species
UACGGAGGGAGCUAGCGUUGUUCGGAAUUACUGGGCGUAAAGGGCUCGUAGGCGGCCAACUAAGUCAGACGUGAAAUCCCUCGGCUUAACCGGGGAACUGCAUCUGAUACUGGAUGGCUUGAGUUUGGGAGAGGGAUGCGGAAUUCCAGGUGUAGCGGUGAAAUGCGUAGAUAUCUGGAGGAACACCGGUGGCGAAGGCGGCAUCCUGGACCAACACUGACGCUGAGGAGCGAAAGCCAGGGGAGCAAACGGG